CGUAGGGUGCGAGCGUUGUCCGGAAUUAUUGGGCGUAAAGAGCUCGUAGGCGGUGUGUCGCGUCGGUCGUGAGAACUUGGGGCUUAACCCUGAGCUUGCGGUCGAUACGGGCAUCACUGGAGUUCGGCAGGGGAGACUGGAAUUCCUGGUGUAGCGGUGAAAUGCGCAGAUAUCAGGAGGAACACCGGUGGCGAAGGCGGGUCUCUGGGCCGAUACUGACGCUGAGGAGCGAAAGCGUGGGGAGCGAACAGGAUUAGAUACCCUGGUAGUCCACGCCGUAAACGGUGGGCGCUAGGUGUGGGGGCCAUUCCACGGUCUCUGUGCCGCAGCUAACGCAUUAAGCGCCCCGCCUGGGGAGUACGGCCGCAAGGCUA
rnacentral:rRNA from 1 species